AUGGGAUUCCCACUGUGGUCUAUGGGCUCCAUAGUAUCCUAUGGGACCCCCCCUAUAAGGUUCUAUGGGACUGACCACCUCUAUAGUAUCCUAUGGGACCCCUAUUGUGUUCUAUGGGACCCCCAUUAUAUCCUAUGGGACUUCUAUUAUAUCCUAUGGGACCCCAUUAUAUCCUAUGGGACUUCUAUUAUAUCCUAUGGGACCCCAUUAUAUGCUAUGGGACUUCUAUUAUAUCCUAUGGGACCCCAUUAUAUCCUAUGGGACCCCCAUUAUAUCCUAUGGGACUUCUAUUAUAUCCUAUGGGACCCCAUUAUAUCCUAUGGGACUUCUAUUAUAUCUUAUGUGACCCCAUUAUAUCCUACGGGACCCCCAUUAUAUCCUAUGGGACCCCAUUAUAUCCUAUGGGACCUCCAUUAUAUCCUAUGGGACCCCAUUAUAUCCUAUGAGACCUUCGUUAUAUCCUAUGGGACCUCCAUUAUAUCCUAUGGGACCCCCAUUAUAUCCUAUGGGACCUCCAUUAUAUCCUAUGCGACCCCAUUAUAUCCUAUGGGACCCCAUUAUAUCCUAUGGGACCUCCAUUAUAUCCUAUGGGACCCCAUUAUAUCCUAUGGGACUUCCAUUAUAUCCUAUGGGACCCCAUUAUAUCCUAUGGGACCCCAUUAUAUCCUAUGGGACCCCCAUUAUAUCCUAUGGGACCUCCAUUAUAUCCUAUGGGACCCCAUUAUAUCCUAUGGGACCCCCAUUAUAUCCUAUGGGACCCCAUUAUAUCCUAUGGGACCCCCAUUAUAUCCUAUGGGACCCCCAUUAUAUCCUAUGGGACCCCAUUAUAUCCUAUGGGACACCCAUUAUAUCCUAUGGGACCCCAUUAUAUCCUAUGGGAUGCCCAUUAUAUCCUAUGGGACCCCAUUAUAUCCUAUGGGACUUCUAUUAUAUCCUAUGGGACCGCAUUAUAUCCUAUGGGACCCCAUUAUAUCCUAUGGGACCCCCAUUAUAUCCUAUGGGACUUCCAUUAUAUUCUAUGGGAUCCCCAUUAUAUUCUAUGGGACCCCCAUUAUAUCCUAUGGGACUUCCAUUAUAUCCUAUGGGACCCCCAUUAUAUCCUAUGGGACCCCAUUAUAUCCUAUGGGACCC
rnacentral:lncRNA from 1 species